rnacentral:rRNA from 1 species
AACGAACGCUGGCGGCAUGCCUAACACAUGCAAGUCGAACGAGACCGUCGGGUCUAGUGGCGCACGGGUGCGUGACGCGGGGGAACCUGCCCGUAGGUUCGGAAUAACUCCCCGAAGGGGGAGCUAAUACCGGUGAAGGUCAUCGGACCAAAGAGUUAUCGCCUUUGGGUGGGGCCGGGUUGGAUUAGCUAGUUGGUAGGGUAAAAGCCUACCAAGGCGACGUUCCAUAGCUGGUCGGGUAGCAUGAUCCGCAACACUUGGACUGCGACACGGCCCAGGCCGCGACGGAGCGGUGCAGUAGAGAGUAUUAGACGAUGGACCCAAGCCCGAUCCCGCCACGCCGCGUAUGUCAUCAAGGCCUUUGGAUUGCACAGCCGUUUUUCCCGAGAUGAUAGUGACGGUACCGGGUAAAUAAGCUCCGGCUAACUCCGUG